UACGUAGGGGGCUAGCGUUGUCCGGAUUUAUUGGGCGUAAAGAGCGUGUAGGCGGCCAUGUAGGUCCGGUGUGAAAACUCGAGGCUUAACCUCGAGAUGUCAUCGGAAACCAUUUGGCUAGAGUCCGGAAGAGGCGAGUGGAAUUCCUGGUGUAGCGGUGGAAUGCGCAGAUAUCAGGAGGAACACCAAUAGCGAAGGCAGCUCGCUGGGACGGUACUGACGCUGAGACGCGAAAGCGUGGGGAGCGAACAGG
rnacentral:rRNA from 1 species